GACGAACGCUGGCGGCGUGCCUAAUACAUGCAAGUUGAGCGCUGAAGGUUGGUACUUGUACCAACUGGAUGAGCAGCGAACGGGUGAGUAACGCGUGGGGAAUCUGCCUUUGAGCGGGGGACAACAUUUGGAAACGAAUGCUAAUACCGCAUAAAAACUUUAAACACAAGUUUUAAGUUUGAAAGAUGCAAUUGCAUCACUCAAAGAUGAUCCCGCGUUGUAUUAGCUAGUUGGUGAGGUAAAGGCUCACCAAGGCGAUGAUACAUAGCCGACCUGAGAGGGUGAUCGGCCACAUUGGGACUGGGACACGGCCCAAACUCCUACGGGAGGCAGCAGUAGGGAAUCUUCGGCAAUGGACGAAAGUCUGACCGAGCAACGCCGCGUGAGUGAAGAAGGGUUUCGGAUCGUAAAACUCUGUUGGUAGGGAAGAACGUUGGUGAGAGUGGAAAGCUCAUCAAGUGACGGUAACUACCCAGAAAGGGACGGCUAACUACGUG
rnacentral:rRNA from 1 species